GCAGUAAACUCAAAAUUAAACUAACAUUACCAAAUCUACAUCUAGUUCAACACUAAUAUGAAAUCCUCACCUUGUCUCCAAAUUAAUGGUUCAAAUACAAAUUAAAAACUUGAAAACCUGCAGAGACCAUAGCCCAAUAUUAAAACCUAAAACUUACAAUAUAAAUUAGAAAACUCAAACCUUGAAUAAUUAAAAUUAUCUUCAGUUUAACAAAAUUGAAACCCUAAACUUUCUAUCACUCACAAAUUUGUGCCCACCCACGUUUGGUGCUCGUAUCUAUAAGAGAGAGAGAGAGAGAGAGAGAGAUAGACGGCAGGGAUCGAGCUAAAUGGGGGUUUCAAUCGGGGCUGAGAUUUUUGGUAUGGGUUUGGUUUUGAAACGAAGCCUGGGAAGGAGAUUGAGAGACCAUGAGAUAUAGAGAUGAGAGAGACAAUUAGGGAGAAGAAAGAGAGAGAUACCUGAGAGGAGAGGAGUUGUGUUCAUCGCACUGUCUCGUUGUCACAGGAGGAGGAG
rnacentral:lncRNA from 1 species